rnacentral:rRNA from 1 species
UGGGGAAUAUUGGACAAUGGGCGAAAGCCUGAUCCAGCAAUGCCGCGUGAGUGAUGAAGGCCUUAGGGUUGUAAAGCUCUUUUACCCGGGAAGAUAAUGACUGUACCGGGAGAAUAAGCUCCGGCUAACUCCGUGCCAGCAGCCGCGGUAAUACGGAGGGAGCUAGCGUUGUUCGGAAUUACUGGGCGUAAAGCGCGCGUAGGCGGCUUUGUAAGUUAGAGGUGAAAGCCCGGGGCUCAACCCCGGAACUGCCUUUAAGACUGCAUCGCUUGAAUCCGGGAGAGGUGAGUGGAAUUCCGAGUGUAGAGGUGAAAUUCGUAGAUAUUCGGAAGAACACCAGUGGCGAAGGCGGCUCACUGGACCGGUAUUGACGCUGAUGUGCGAAAGCGUGGGGAGCAAACAGGAUUAGAUACCCCUGUAGUCC